UACGGAGGGUGCGAGCGUUGUCCGGAAUCACUGGGCGUAAAGGGCGCGUAGGCGGCUCGUGAAGUCAGUGGUGAAAGCCCAGGGCUCAACUCUGGGUCGGCCACUGAUACUCGCGAGCUCGAGUUUGGUAGAGGCAGAUGGAAUUCCGGGUGUAGCGGUGGAAUGCGUAGAGAUCCGGAAGAACACCGGUGACGAAGGCGGUCUGCUGGGCCAAGACUGACGCUGAGGCGCGACAGCGUGGGGAGCAAACAGG
rnacentral:rRNA from 1 species